AAAAGAUAAGUACAUAUUCAGAAUAAGGUUCUGGAGUGAUAUUAGAAUCCUUUUUAAGUCGAAGUUGGAUAGUUAAAUAUGUAGUAGUCUAUAUAGAUGUAAGAUACCUGCAAUAUUUCUGAAAGUUUCCUUUUUUCCUACACAGGACUUCUUACCUUAUGACAUGAAAAACAAGAACUCUAUUUGGUAUAGACAUGCGAUAUUAAUUAUUGGUACAACUUUUCUUGACAGUACUAUUAUAAAGUUAUACAGUUGGCAGACACAUGGCACCAAGAUUAAACAUCUAUCAAAUAACAACCGACACGCCAGAUUGGACUUCCAAAGUUCAAAUCGUGAGCGAGAAAGUCCUGAGAAGAAAAUCAGAUUCCAAAAUUUAAUUUUGUAAGAUGAAGAGAGAAGCUUCAAAUCUCGGAGACACAUCUGAUUUCCACCACAAGAGUUCGAGUUUCGCCACUUUAUACAGCAAACUAAUACACAAGUUUUAUUGGGUACUUGGCAAAGAAAAUAUAGUUGAACAUGUCAAGCCAACUGACGAGCAUGAGAUCAACUAAGCUGAAUAUCUCAACUUUUGACCGCAUGGCUCAUAUGACUCCUCAUUCUUCUGUAGAAGUUGGUAUACCACUCAUACCAAUUACUAGCAUGCUCGAUUAUAUAUGCUUAUACAUGUACGCACUCAUUAUAUUCCCUUAUAUCUUACUAGCAGACAAACUAGGAGUCGUUCUAUGUUAUGGCCCUUCAAAAUAUGCAGGUCGCAAUCAAAACGGGUGCCGAGAGAUUAUUGUUGUUGACAAUCAGUAAGUACAACAUUCAUUUCAGAUUAUAUGCCUUUAUUUUCCUUUGGAAGCAUAUGUAUAUCCUUACGAUAGAUGCUCAAAAAAUUAGUAUUAUAUUCCCCGCACUCUCAGGAAAAAAAAAUAGUUUCUACUCACUUUAUGGGAGGACUUCGGAGAAAUUGAAGGAACUGUGCUCCAAGCAAAAAUGGGAAAGGAUGAAGAGUUCCUUGUAAUCCUUGGAAGGAGUAUAGGAAUAUCUUCUUAUCAGGGUGACGGUGACUUUUGCUCAAUAUGGAGGACUAUCAAACAUAGACUGAGGGAUGUAGAUGAUCUGAAGAGAAAUAGAUAGUGAGAAAACAAGACCAUUUUAGAAUCUCUCACUAACCUUUCUUCCCAUAUAAAAUAAAGGCUUUGUGCAAGUAACUACUCUGUCAAAACAAACAAAAUCAGCCUGUUAAGAUAUUCUUGAUUUUCUGGAACUUGAAUGAGCUUGAUUACACCUACAAGUACAUUUAUUGUCUUUGUUCCCGGUGACGUAUCAGAGCAUAGGCCAUCCGUUUAUUUGCUUGCCUCCUCCUUCCAUUCUCAAAAUGGAAGUCGAUCCCGACAAGCACCCAUCUUUUCGCAUGCAUCUAUUUAAAGAAGGUUUUAUGGAAAAUAUACUUAUGCCAUCUCAUUUUGUGAAAAAACACAAGAAGAUGUUGGCUAAGACCUGCAUACUGAAAACUGAUGUAGCUGGAAUUUCAUGGAAAGUAAAAAUAGAGAGAGAAAAGCCCAAUUACUUCAUAUGUGAAGGAGACUGGCCACAGUUUGUGGUGCAUCACCAACUGAAGCAUGGGGACGUUUUGCUCUUUUUCCUCAUUGAGAAAUCAACUUUCCAUGUCCUGCUCUACUCCCAGAAGCAACGUGGAAACCUUGGUGGGAGGCAACUUUUUGAGGAACUCAGUUCUUCCUCUGAAGAGGAAGGGCAAGAUGAGGAGGAGAAAGAGGAUGAGAACAUCGAAGUUUCAAGAAAAUUGAAGAAAGUCAAAAUGAAGCGAGGAGAAUCAUCUGGUAAGUCAAAAUGGAGCCAAGAGCCAAUAGAUAUAUCAGAUUUUGAGGAAGAAUGCGUUAAUCCAUCCCGUAGCUCCAAAGAUGGGGGAAAUCCAGGCUUUUCACGACCAGAAGUUAAAUCCGAUGCCAAAGCUGAUAACAUGCUCGGCUUGAAGAAGAAAGCUCCCAAGACUAAAGAAGCGAAGAAGGUGGCCAAUGAUCCUGACAAACCAAAGAGGCCUACAAGUGCUUUCUACGUUAAGCGAGGACGGAGGUCUGCCAAGUAUCCUGACAAACCCAAGAGGCCUGCAGGUGCUUUCUUUUUUUUCUUGAAGGAGUUCAGGAAGCAGUUCAAGAAGGAGAAUCCAAAAAAUAAAUCUGUGGCCACUGUCGGUAUAGCUGGUGGAAACAAGUGGAAACAGUUGUCAAAUGCUGAAAAAGCUCCUUAUGUGGCAGAGGCAAAGAAAAGGAUGGCGGAAUAUCAUAAGAACAAGGAUACUUAUUAUAACAAGCGAGUAGCUGCUGGAUCUUCUGAAGAAGAGGAAUCUUACAAGUCAAUGUCCGAGGUUGAUGCGGAAGAGGAAGGGGAAGGGGAGGAGGAGGUAGAAAAAGAGGAAGAGAACAAUGAGGCUUCUAGAAAAUUGAAGAAAGUCAAAAUGGAGCCAAGAGAAUCAUCAGGCACAAGGACGUAAUGGACAAAGAGAAGUCUAUAGCAUAUAAAAGAGCAAUAGCAAAUUUCAAGUCUAAGAAUCCGUUCUUUAUAUCUUUUAUGCAUCCUUCCUAUAUCUCCAAAUCGGGCUUUCUGUGCAUAAAGUUGGCAUUUGCUAGGGAAUAUAUCCCGGAAAACUGCAGCAACAUAGUGCUUCGUGUUCCAGGAAGGGGAUCUUGGCCUGUCAAAUACUAUCUGGCAACUGGACAAGCUAAAUUUUGGACUGGCUGGACGGAGUUCGUGCUGGACAAUCAGUUAAAAAUAGGUGAUGUUUGUGUAUUUGAAGUGUUGAGGGCACUCAGCUCUCUAUAGAUGUCACUAUAUUUCGUGCAGCUGACAACUGAUGGGCCUGAUUGUUAUUAGUUUUCGUUACUGAAAGAUAGUUUAGAACAAAGUUAGUAUUAUGAAGAAAAUCUUGAAGGAAGGCUUCUAAAAUUAGCUCGAUGUGAAAUUAAACGAGCUAUUAUAUUCUAUAGUUCAGUCUUUGUCUUUCUGACAAAUUUUCAUUUAUAUUUUCUAAUGCAUAUUUUGUUGGUUUUGAAUCUUAAGUGUCAUUCAAAUCG